rnacentral:rRNA from 1 species
ACGCUCGACACCUACGGGAGGCAGCAGUGGGGAAUAUUGCACAAUGGGGGAAACCCUGAUGCAGCGACGCCGCGUGAGCGAAGAAGUAUUUCGGUAUGUAAAGCUCUAUCAGCAGGGAAGAAAAUGACGGUACCUGACUAAGAAGCCCCGGCUAACUACGUGCCACAGCCGCGGUAAUCUGAGCGGGCUGGCAAGGC